rnacentral:rRNA from 1 species
GAUGAACGCUGGCGGCGUGCCUAAUACAUGCAAGUCGAGCGAACAGACGAGGAGCUUGCUCCUCUGACGUUAGCGGCGGACGGGUGAGUAACGCGUGGAUAACCUACCUAUAAGACUGAGAUAACUUCGGGAAACCGGAGCUAAUACCGGAUAAUAUAUUGAACCGCAUGGUUCAAUAGUGAAAGACGGUUUUGCUGUCACUUAUAGAUGGAUCCGCGCCGCAUUAGCUAGUUGGUAAGGUAACGGCUUACCAAGGCAACGAUGCGUAGCCGACCUGAGAGGGUGAUCGGCCACACUGGAACUGAGACACGGUCCAGACUCCUACGGGAGGCAGCAGUAGGGAAUCUUCCGCAAUGGGCGAAAGCCUGACGGAGCAACGCCGCGUGAGUGAUGAAGGUCUUCGGAUCGUAAAACUCUGUUAUUAGGGAAGAACAAAUGUGUAAGUAACUAUGCACGUCUUGACGGUACCUAAUCAGAAAGCCACGGCUAACUACGUG